GGGAUGCCUAGUAACGGCGAGUGAAGCGGCAAAAGCUCAAAUUUGAAAUCUGGCAUCUUUGAUGUCCGAGUUGUAAUUUGAAGAGGUUACUUUGGAGGCUGGCUCUUGUCUAUGUUCCUUGGAACAGGACGUCAUGGAGGGUGAGAAUCCCGUCUGGCGAGAGUUUCAGUUUCCAUGUAAAGUAGCAUUCGACGAGUCGAGUUGUUUGGGAAUGCAGCUCUAAGUGGGUGGUAAAUUCCAUCUAAAGCUAAAUAUUGGCGAGAGACCGAUAGCGAACAAGUACAGUGAUGGAAAGAUGAAAAGAACUUUGAAAAGAGAGUGAAAAAGUACGUGAAAUUGUUGAAAGGGAAGGGCAUUUGAUCAGACAUGGUGUUUCGUGCUUCUUGCUCCUUGUGGGCGGGGAGACUCACACGGUUCACUGGGCCAACAUCAGUUUUGGCAGCAGGAUAAAACUUUGGGAACGUGGCUUUCUUCGGGAAGUGUUAUAGCCCUUGGCAAUACUGCUAGCCGGGAUUGAGGACUGCGCAUUUAUGCAAGGAUGUUGGCUUAAUGGUUAAAUGCCGCCCGUCUUGAA
rnacentral:rRNA from 1 species